UACAGAGGUCUCAAGCGUUGUUCGGAUUCAUUGGGCGUAAAGGGUGCGUAGGCGGCGCGGUAAGUCGGGUGUGAAAUCUCGGGGCUUAACUCCGAAACUGCAUUCGAUACUGCCGUGCUUGAGGACUGGAGAGGAGACUGGAAUUCCCAGUGUAGCGGUGAAAUGCGCAGAUAUCAGGAAGAACACCAAUGGCGAAGGCAGCUCUCUGGGACGGUACUGACGCUGAGACGCGAAAGCGUGGGGAGCGAACAGG
rnacentral:rRNA from 1 species